rnacentral:rRNA from 1 species
AUGAAGCUCCUAUGUUCAAACAUUAGGGGCUUCGGCCUCACGGGCCAGCGUCGGCAGCUCAUCAAGUAUUUGCGGCAAGAAGAGAUUGACAUCGUGGGACUUCAGGAGACGAUUCGCUAGGACUUUAGCAUGCAAGAGCUUCAGGGGCUCUCCUGCCAAAAAGUUUGCCUCGCUGUGGCUACCGGCCACAGGACAAUCUGGAGGCAUCCUGCUCGGUGUCAGAGUGGAUGCUUUCUCGGUUGA